rnacentral:rRNA from 1 species
AGACAGCAGUGCCGCGGUAAUACGGAGGAUCCAAGCGUUAUCCGGAUCUAUUGGGUUUAAAGGGUGCGUAGGCGGCCUAUUAAGUCAGGGGUGAAAGACGGUAGCUCAACUAUCGCAGUGCCUUUGAUACUGAUAGGCUUGAAUGUACUUGAAGUGGGCGGAAUGUGACAAGUAGCGGUGAAAUGCAUAGAUAUGUCACAGAACACCGAUUGCGAAGGCAGCUCACUAAAGUAUGAUUGACGCUGAGGCACGAAAGCGUGGGGAUCAAACAGGAUUAGAUACCCCCGUAGUCCCUGUCUCUUAUACC